rnacentral:rRNA from 1 species
ACGCUCGACACCUACGGGAGGCAGCAGUGGGGAAUAUUGCACAAUGGGGGAAACCCUGAUGCAGCGACGCCGCGUGAGCGAAGAAGUAUUUCAGUAUGUAAAGCUCUAUCAGCAGGGAAGAAAGUGACGGUACCUGACUAAGAAGCACCGGCUAAAUACGUACCAGCAGCCGCGGUAAUCUGAGCGGGCUGGCAAGGC